rnacentral:snRNA from 10 species
AUACUUACCCGGCAGAGGAGACACCAUGAUCAGGCAGGUGGUUUUCCCAGGGCAAGACUCAUCCCCUGCACUCUGGGUGUUUAUAUUUUUUUUUUUUAUGGCCUAGACAAAGUGGUCUGUGCAGUGGGUGGGGAACUGGCU